rnacentral:rRNA from 1 species
GGCGGGACACGUGGUAUCCUGUCUGAAUAUGGGGGGACCAUCCUCCAAGGCUAAAUACUCCUGACUGACCGAUAGUGAACCAGUACCGUGAGGGAAAGGCGAAAAGAACCCCGGCGAGGGGAGUGAAAAAGAACCUGAAACCGUGUACGUACAAGCAGUGGGAGCACCUUCGGGUGUGACUGCGUACCUUUUGUAUAAUGGGUCAGCGACUUAUAUUCUGUAGCAAGGUUAACCGUAUAGGGGAGCCGCAGGGAAACCGAGUCUUAACUGGGCGUUAAGUUGCAGGGUAUAGACCCGAAACCCGGUGAUCUAGCCAUGGGCAGGUUGAAGGUUGGGUAACACUAACUGGAGGACCGAACCGACUAAUGUUGAAAAAUUAGCGGAUGACUUGUGGCUGGGGGUGAAAGGCCAAUCAAACCGGGAGAUAGCUGGUUCUCCCCGAAAGCU